rnacentral:lncRNA from 1 species
UUUCCAGUUGUUGCUUCGCAUACGAACUAAAGAACUAAACUUGCUUUCAUAUAUGACAUACUUGCUUUUAAAAAUCUAAUUAAAACUUUCUUUUUGGUCCUUAGGUAGAAAGAUGGCUCUGUUGAGAUGAGCUCUUAAUUAAUGCACUGAGAGCUUAGGAGUCCCACCUCUCAACAGGAAUGAUUGACGUCCAAGGAUACAUAAAUUACACUAAUUGAGCUCCGUCUCUAUACAGGCUUUCCGCAGCCAACUCAUCAGAGAAGCUAGGUUUGUAAGACCAGCACCGUCUCUCUUAGCAACUCUAAUGAGCAAUCUGAUACAAAAUUGAAGGAAAAUACACCAUUUUGAGUCCCUGCUCUUCUAAGACAAACUGAUUUAGAAGUUCGGUGCAAUCAAGACAACUAAACGCCGCUUUAAAGAAGAAGAGAA